rnacentral:rRNA from 1 species
UACAGAGGUCUCGAGCGUUGUUCGGAUUCAUUGGGCGUAAAGGGUGCGUAGGCGGCGGGGUAAGUCUGAUGUGAAAUUCCAGGGCUCAACCUUGGGACUGCAUUGGAUACUGCCUUGCUCGAGAACUGGAGAGGAGACUGGAAUUUACGGUGUAGCAGCGAAAUGCGUAGAGAUCGUAAGGAAGACCAGUGGCGAAGGCGAGUCUCUGGACAGAUUCUGACGCUGAGGCACGAAGGCCAGGGGAGCAAACGGG